CACGUAGGGCGCAAGCGUUGUCCGGAAUUAUUGGGCGUAAAGAGCUCGUAGGCGGUCUGUUGCGUCCGCUGUGAAAACCCGGGGCUUAACCCCUGGCUUGCAGUGGAUACGGACAGACUAGAGGUAGGUAGGGGAGAAUGGAAUUCCCGGUGUAGCGGUGAAAUGCGCAGAUAUCGAGAGGAACACCGGUGGCGAAGGCGGUUCUCUGGGCCCUACCUGACGCUGAGGAGCGAAAGCGUGGGGAGCGAACAGG
rnacentral:rRNA from 1 species